rnacentral:rRNA from 1 species
AGAGUUUGAUCCUGGCUCAGAGUGAACGCUGGCGGCGUGCUUAACACAUGCAAGUCGAACGAGAACGGGCCUAGCUUGCUAGGCUGUCAGCUAAGUGGCGGACGGGUGAGUAAUGUAUAGUUAAUCUGCCCCCUAGAGAGGGAUAACAGUUGGAAACGACUGCUAAUACCUCAUACUCCUUCUACCUUAAUGGUAGUUGGGAAAUGUCUUUUCGCUAGGGGAUGAGACUAUAUGGUAUCAGGUAGUUGGUGGGGUAAGAGCCCACCAAGCCAAUGACGCCUAGCUGGUCUGAGAGGAUGAUCAGCCACACUGGAACUGAGACACGGCCCAGACUCCUACGGGAGGCAGCAGUGGGGAAUAUUGCACAAUGGGGGAAACCCUGAUGCAGCCAUGCCGCGUGUGUGAAGAAGGCCUUCGGGUUGUAAAGCACUUUCAGCGAGGAGGAAAGGUUAGUAGUUAAUAACUGCUAGCUGUGACGUUACUCGCAGAAGAAGGACCGGCUAACUCCGUGCCAGCAGCCGCGGUAAUACGGAGGGUCCAAGCGUUAAUCGGAAUUACUGGGCGUAAAGCGCGCGUAGGUGGUUUGUUAAGUGGAAUGUGAAAGCCCUGGGCUCAACCUAGGAACUGCAUCCCAAACUGAUAGACUAGAGUACAAUAGAGGGGUGUGGAAUUUCCUGUGUAGCGGUGAAAUGCGUAGAUAUAGGAAGGAACACCAGUGGCGAAGGCAGCUUUCUGGACUAAUACUGACGCUAAGGCGUGAAAGCGUGGGGAGCAAACGGGAUUAGAUACCCCGGUAGUCCACGCCCUAAACGAUGUUCACUAGUCGUCGGGAUGCUAGUCAUCUCGGUGAUGCACUUAACAGAUUAAGUGAACCGCCUGGGGAGUACGGUCGCAAGAUUAAAACUCAAAGGAAUAGACGGGGACCCGCACAAGUGGUGGAGCAUGUGGUUUAAUUCGAAGAUACGCGAAGAACCUUACCUAGCCUUGACAUUGAUUGAACGGACCAGAGAUGGACCGGUGCCCUUCGGGGAACAUGAAAACAGGUGCUGCACGGCUGUCGUCAGCUCGUGUCGUGAGAUGUUGGGUUAAGUCCCGCAACGAGCGCAACCCUCGUCACUAGUUACUAACGGUUCGGCCGAGGACUCUAGUGAGACUGCCUUCGUAAGGAGGAGGAAGGUGAGGACGACGUCAAGUCAUCAUGGCCCUUACGGCUAGGGCAACACACGUGCUACAAUGGUUGGGACAAUGAGACGCAAUACCGCGAGGUGGAGCAAAUCUAUAAACCCAAUCUCAGUUCGGAUUGUUCUCUGCAACUCGAGAACAUGAAGCUGGAAUCACUAGUAAUCGUAGAUCAGCUAUGCUACGGUGAAUACGUUCCCGGGUCUUGUACUCACCGCCCGUCACACCAUGGGAGUUGAUUUCACCCGAAGCGGGGAAGCUAACCUUCGGGGGGCUACCACUUACGGUGGAAUUAGCGACUGGGGUGAAGUCGUAACAAGGUAACC